AUUGAACGCUGGCGGAAUGCUUUACACAUGCAAGUCGAGCGGCAGCACGGGGGCAACCCUGGUGGCGAGCGGCGAACGGGUGAGUAAUACAUCGGAACAUGCCCAGUCGUGGGGGAUAACACUUCGAAAGAAGUGCUAAUACCGCAUACGUCCUGAGGGGGAAAGCGGGGGAUCGCAAGACCUCGCGCGAUUGGAGUGGCCGAUGUCAGAUUAGCUAGUUGGUGGGUAAAGGCCUACCAAGGCAACGAUCUGUAGCUGGUCUGAGGAUGAUCAGCCACACUGGGACUGAGACACGGCCCAGACUCCUACGGGAGGCAGCAGUGGGGAAUUUUGGACAAUGGGGGCAACCCUGAUCCAGCCAUUCCGCGUGAGUGAAGAAGGCCUUCGGGUUGUAAAGCUCUUUCGGCAGGAACGAAACGGUGAGCUCUAACAUAGCUUGCUAAUGACGGUACCUGAAGAAGAAGCACCGGCUAACUACGUG
rnacentral:rRNA from 1 species